ensembl:ncRNA F08C6.8 ncRNA
GACGUGCAUCAAACCAUACAUGAUCUCGUUUUCUUGAACCUCUCCUUCCGCUUCAUGUCUACAUUUCGUUUUUAUUCCGUUCCUCCUAAUGUCCUCCUCGGUAAUCACGAGUCGUUUGAGGGAAGGAGGUGG